UUUUAUGGAGAGUUUGAUCCUGGCUCAGGACGAACGCUGGCGGCGUGCCUAAUACAUGCAAGUCGAGCGAACAGAAAAGGAGCUUGCUCCUUUGACGUUAGCGGCGGACGGGUGAGUAACACGUGGGCAACCUACCCUAUAGUUUGGGAUAACUCCGGGAAACCGGGGCUAAUACCGAAUAAUCUCUUUUGCUUCAUGGUGAAAGACUGAAAGACGGUUUCGGCUGUCGCUAUAGGAUGGGCCCGCGGCGCAUUAGCUAGUUGGUGAGGUAACGGCUCACCAAGGCGACGAUGCGUAGCCG
rnacentral:rRNA from 1 species